rnacentral:rRNA from 1 species
GACAGAGGGUGCGAACGUUGCUCGGAAUCACUGGGCGUAAAGCGCGCGUAGGCGGACCGGAAAGUCGGUUGUGAAAUCCCUGGGCUCAACCCAGGAACUGCAUCCGAAACUCCCGGUCUCGAGUGACGGAGAGGAUAGUGGAAUUCCCGGUGUAGAGGUGAAAUUCGUAGAUAUUGGGAGGAACACCAGUGGCGAAGGCGGCUAUCUGGACGUCCACUGACGCUGAGGCGCGAAAGCGUGGGGAGCAAACAGG